UGGGGUGGGGGCGCUGCGGGCGCAGCUCGGAUCCUGCGCGCUCCAGGCGGCCGUUGCCGCGCGCUCGGGCUCCCGUGGUCCAGACCCUCCCGACUGCCGCCGCCGCCGCCGACCCGCUCGCUCAGCUGCGGCUCUGCGUUCUGAUCCGUACCCGCGGCCGGCGCCCGAGUCCCCGGCACUGUGCGGUCCGCCCCGCCCCGCCCUCUGAAGCCCGCUGCCCGCCCCCCCCCGGGGCGGCGCCCUCGCGCCUCGGUGCCCGCCCGCGCGCCCACGGGCGGAGCUGCCCCCGCGUGCUCGCCGCCCGGCAGCCGCCAACCGCUGCCGCCGCCCGCGCCCGCGGGUUCAAUCUCCGUGCGCCCCCCGCACCGUCUCUAAGCAGCACGCGCCGCCUCUACACUUUCUCUUGGCCAAAUCCGGUGGAGCCAAGAGACUGUGUUAUUUAAGGAAAUCCCCAGGCUCAGAAUUGGAAGAAUCCCUUGAUGCUGGAGUCGCCCAAGAUUGUGCGUCCACUAGGGCAGCUGAGUGUAACUUGGCUAAGAUGUAGCCAAAGAGUUUUGGAAAUGUAGCUAGUUCCAGCAGGACCGGGCUGUUAGUGUUGCCCGUACACCGCAGAUACAAACCAUCUCAUUCAUAAAUCUUGUGUUAUUUGCUGGAAUGAUCUUUCCUGCACCCUUACAGCAAAGGAUUCCAUAUGGGUGGGCAACACAGAAAGGCCAAAGAAAGUUGGUGGAAUUGGGUCUAACCUAAUAAAGAUCACGAUCCGGUAGGAGAUGCAUGCUGUGCCCAUGGAGGACAGAAGAGGGCGUCUAAUCCUCCAGAACAAAAGUUACAGAUGAGCGUGAACAGCCAAGUAGGUACCACUCAGGUCCUUUGGAAGAGCAGCCAGUGUUGUUAUCUGUGAGCCAUCCCUCCGUCCAGGGAAAAUAUCAUCUUUGAUGAAAUUUCUCCAAGAUGCCAAUCUAAAAAGUCAACAUACAGCAUGAUUUCAACAUUGAUACUCUGAGAAUGGCCAAGUAAAAACAAAAGAUACCAGUGAUUGCCAAUUACUUUGUAUGAUCCUGUGAUGAAACAAGACAUGUACUUACAAUAGGCAGGAAAGCACAUCAAGAGUGAAUGCUAAUAUUAAGUGUGGACUUUGGGUGAGAAGGAUGUGUUGUUUCAUCAACUGUAACAAAUGUAUCACUCCAGUGGGAGAUUUUGACAGUAGAGAAGUCCUGGAGAGGUGGAGUGGGAAUGCAGGAUUUUCUGUUCAAUUUGGCUGUGAGCUUAAAAGUACUCUAAAAGUCAUUUAAAACUAGUGACCACACACAUAUUAUAUAAUAUAUUAUAUAAUAAUAUGUGCUGUUCAGAUAGUUAAAUGUAGGGGUUUUAUUUUGUUUUGUUUUGUUUUGUUUUGUCU